AUGGGGGAAAUUGACACGUCAUUCUUGGAAUACAAGGAUGGAGAUACUAAGUCGAUAAAUUGUUUUUCUCUUUCCUUCUUUCACAGUAACACAGUCCACUUUGUGUAUGUAACAAAUUUGAUUUCUUUUCUCGCUUUCUCUAUUCUUCUUUUUUUUUCUUUUGUUAUAUUACCCUUUCUCUCUCUCUCUAUCUCUCCUCUCUCUCUCUCUCCCUCUCUCUCUCUCUACUUCUCUCUAUCCUCCUUUCCCUCUCCCUCUCCUGCUCCCUCUUCUUCUUCCACUCCCACUCCCACUCUCUUGCUCCAUUUCUGUUUGUCUUUCUUUGCCUCUACGUUCCACCAACGUUUUAAUACGUUUCAUCUUAUCUUUCAAAGAAGAAUUUUUCUUGUAGAACUACGGUAUUUAAAAUCUCAAACUUAUUCGACUUCAUAUUACGAUAUUUAAGGUUUUUCAAUGCGCAUAAUAGUAAAGAUUCAUUUUCUUUUCGUUCUUUCAAUCAACUGCGUAUGUGAGUGAAAUAGAGGUUAGAAUAAUACGCUUAAGGAAGAGCAGAUAUAUUUUUAAAGGGAACUACUUUUAUCCUGCUAUUUGUUCGCUAUUGUUUAGAGUUCGUAAUUGCGUAUACAUACACAUAUUUGCGAUCACAGAUAUACAAUACGUAAAAGUAUUAGUUCAACUGUACUGCGAAAUAACAAAUAAAAAUCUACAAAAUGAUUUCUCUUUGUUAAAAUUAAAAUUAAAUGGUAACUAACAUUGAACUGUGAUAUUCCUCGAUUGAUUAAAACUAUUUUAAAAUGUAUUUUCAAAGAUGUAACAUAAAGAAAGAAGAAAUAGAUCAAUUUUCUGAGAAAAUAUAAAAUUCUAUCAAAAUAGUACUCUUUCGUAAUUGAAUAUGAAGUUAGUUUAUUGAAGGUUAUUAAAGAUGAGUAAAAAGAAUUAUAUAAAUUACGAAGAUAGACUAAAGUUACUUCUUGCUAUUAUGACUGAAAAUUAUCAUGAUGCUAUGGAAGUUGGAUCUUCAGUUUUAAGACAGAACCCGAAUGAUCUAAGCAUUCUGAAAAUCUUAUCUGCCGUUAAAGAUAAAAUCGCCUAUCGUACAGAUCGUCCUUGGUGCCGUAUAUACUCGCGUUUGAACGAGCAAGACUGUUCAUCUUUCCUCCAUUGUGUAGACUUUCUGCAAGUAAACAACAAAGACCUUGGAAAUGUAUUCACUCGAAUGAUUUGUUUCGACCUUCAUAGCCGUCUUCCUCGUCGUCAUAGUAAUGAGCGUAUGUGCUGUGAUGAGACGGUGCUAUGGAUUCGGCGUAAGGCGUAGGAGCUCCAUAAUAGAAGUUUACUUGAGAACCAUUUUGAUCGGUCGCUGGAGUGAGCAUUUUCUUAGGCUCCUUUUUACGAGAUGCCCUAUAAAAGGAUCCCCUUACUAGGAGGACAACAAAUAUGAUAAGAAUAACACCUCCUGCGAUACCACCAGUGAUAUAGAAGAACUCUGACUUCUCAGUACAAUGUUUCCCUGUGAAACUGCCGCUACACCUGCAAGAUGGUUGUCCUCUGGAAUCCUUCAGACAUACACCCUCGUUGUCGCAAUAACCCAUGCAAACGUCCGUACACUCCGUUCCAGUACCGUUAUAUCCUGGUUUACAUUCGCAUUUGAAGUCACUUGUCUCUGGUAUAAGUAAACAAUAGGCAUUUGCGUCGCAGUGCAUUUCUUCGCCGCUUGUCUCGCAUGGAUUGGUGCAAUCGGAUUUGCUGGUCUGUAAGAACAAACGUUAAACGUUAAGGCGACCGUUCGUUGGACAAGGUUAAACUCAUCUCACGGGUAAGCGUGCCUCAAGCUAACCUGCCAUUAGUGACAAUUAAUUACAAUUAUCCUACGUGUAAUUAGAAACUCGAUGACAUUCUGAAAUUUGUAUAAAUUUAUAGUUAUAGAGUACAUAUGUACGUGUUCAUAUUUUCCUAUUAUGUAUUAAAAAUAACGCGAUAUCUUGGUGCAGAUUUGCCUAUUACUAAAUGGCAAAAGGGAAGGAGAAAAACUGGAACUAGCUAUAAUAUCAUCUAUAUCACCUAUUAAGAAAACCUUUUCAGAAUUGAUCGAUUUAUAGAAACCAUAAUAUUACAAUAUGGAAUAAAACAUAUUUUUUCCGUGAUCAUUUGUUAUCAUGCAAUCAUAUUAUAAAUGUUAUUGUAAGAUAAUAUUAUAAAUUAGCUGUUAAUCAAGUAUGUCUGUUACAAAGUAGACGGUCUUAUAAUUAUUAUGUAGGUAGAUUACGUAACGUUAUAGAAAUUAAUUCAUCUAAUAUCGACCUUGGAUUACAUAAAAGUCAUUUGUUAGAGGUAUCGGGUUAUAUCAUUAUUAUACUUAUAUUAAAUUUCAUUUUUAGCGCAAUGUGAUUCUACCUCGCGGAAAACAAUAGUUUUACUAUAGGUCAGUUAGUAACAACGUGCAAACCCGGUUUUAUGCUGUUUUUUGCCUUUAUCUAUAUAUAUAAUCCUUCAUCCUUGGUAACUCGAUCAUGCACCGUGUUAAAUCGCUAUGUGUAUGCAAAUGAAUCUGUAAUCAUUUAUUUUUUGUUUUUGUUUUGUUUUUUAGAAUGAGGGCGUAUUAUUAGGGAUGAUAUCGUGUUGGUUGGCAUUGUUCAUUGUAUGACACAAUUCGCAUAUAUUCACACGAAUCGAGCUGUCCUUACUUUAUCGCCGGGAACGAGAUCUCCACCUCGUAGGUAUCGCUGCCUUGGCGCGCCUGUCUCGUUCUAUGAUGUAACAAGUAACAAAUGCUCAGUACUAAUUCAUCUAGAUCUACUUGGGUUUAGAGAGAGAAAAGAUAUAUAUAGAGAGAGAGAGAUGAGGAAGAGAAAGACAGAGUCUACGGUUAAUGAAUGUUGAAAAUACGCGGUACGUUUAUUUGUACCUCGAAUUUUUCUAAACAAAUUUCUAGUCUCAUACGAUUCCCCAAAUUUGGAAUUUUAUAAAGAUGAAUAAAAGUAAAUCAGAUGUUUUUCAACUUACGGUUCUG